rnacentral:rRNA from 1 species
GGGGCCUACGGGAGGCAGCAGUGGGGAAUUUUGGACAAUGGGGGCAACCCUGAUCCAGCCAUUCCGCGUGUGCGAUGAAGGCCUUCGGGUUGUAAAGCACUUUUGGCAGGAAAGAAAUCGCACCGAUUAAUACUUGGUGUGGAUGACGGUACCUGCAGAAUAAGCACCGGCUAACUACGUGCCAGCAGCCGCGGUAAUACGUAGGGUGCAAGCGUUAGUCGGAAUUACUGGGCGUAAAGCGUGCGCAGGCGGUUUGUUAAGACAGUUGUGAAAUCCCCGGGCUCAACCUGGGAACUGCAAUUGUGACUGGCAGGCUAGAGUUUGGCAGAGGGGGGUGGAAUUCCUGGUGUAGCAGUGAAAUGCGUAGAUAUCAGGAGGAACACCGAUGGCGAAGGCAGCCCCCUGGGCCAAGACUGACGCUCAUGCACGAAAGCGUGGGGAGCAAACAGGAUUAGAUACCCUGGUAGUCCACGCCCUAAACGAUGUCUACUAGUUGUUGGGUCUUCAUUGACUUAGUAACGAAGCUAACGCGUGAAGUAGACCGCCUGGGGAGUACGGCCGCAAGGUUAAAACUCAAAGGAAUUGACGGGG